UUCCAGACUCCUACGGGAGGCAGCAGUGGGGAAUAUUGCACAAUGGGGGAAACCCUGAUGCAGCGACGCCGCGUGAGUGAAGAAGUAUUUCGGUAUGUAAAGCUCUAUCAGCAGGGAAGAAAAUGACGGUACCUGAUUAAGAAGCCCCGGCUAACUACGUGCCAGCAGCCGCGGUAAUACGUAGGGGGCAAGCGUUAUCCGGAUUUACUGGGUGUAAAGGGAGCGUAGACGGCAGCACAAGUCUGGAGUGAAGUGCCGGGGCUUAACCCCGGAACUGCUUUGGAAACUGUGCAGCUAGAGUGCAGGAGAGGUAAGUGGAAUUCCUAGUGUAGCGGUGAAAUGCGUAGAUAUUAGGAGGAACACCAGUGGCGAAGGCGGCUUACUGGACUGUAACUGACGUUGAGGCUCGAAAGCGUGGGGGGCAAACAGGAUUAGAUACCCGAGUACGA
rnacentral:rRNA from 1 species